ACAAGGUUUCCGUAGGUGAACCUGCGGAAGGAUCAUUGUCGAAACCUGCACAGCAGAACGACCCGCGAAUUGGUUACAACCGACGGGGGACAGGGGUCGCUCAUUGCCCCCUCGCCCCCCCUGCGGGCGGGGACCUCGCGUCUCCUGCCCGCAAACCGAACCCCGGCGCGGAACGCGCCAAGGAAAUCUAACCAAGAGAGCCAUGCCGGAGGCCCCGGACACGGUGCGCCCCCGGCGUCGGCGUCUUACGAAUUAUUCAAAACGACUCUCGGCAACGGAUAUCUAGGCUCUCGCAUCGAUGAAGAACGUAGCGAAAUGCGAUACUUGGUGUGAAUUGCAGAAUCCCGCGAAUCAUCGAGUUUUUGAACGCAAGUUGCGCCCGAAGCCAUUCGGCCGAGGGCACGUCUGCCUGGGUGUCACGCAUCGUUGCCCCCCCAAACUCCGGUUCGGGCGGGGCGGAAGUUGGCCUCCCGUGCGUGCCUGCGCGCGCGGUCAGCCCAAAAGYGAGUCCUCGGCGACGAGCGCCACGACAAUCGGUGGUUUUUUUGCCCUCGUUCCUCGUCGUGCGUGCCCCGUCGCUCGAACGCGCUCCUACGACCCUCACGCGUCGCUUCGGCGGCGCUC
rnacentral:rRNA from 1 species